CCUGGCUCAGAGCGAACGUUAGCGGCGGGCCUAACACAUGCAAGUCGAACGCGAAAGGUCUUCGGACUGAGUAGAGUGGCGCACGGGUGAGUAACACGUAGGUAAUCUACCCUUUGGCGGGGGAUAACGUUCCGAAAGGAGCGCUAAUACCGCAUAAGACCACGGAGUCUCCGGACGCUGUGGGAAAAGGUGGCCUCUUCUUGAAAGCUACCACCGAAGGAUGAGCCUGCGUCCCAUCAGCUAGUUGGUAAGGUAAUGGCUUACCAAGGCGAAGGCGGGUAGCUGGUUUGAGAGAAUGAUCAGCCACGCUGGCACUGGAACACGGGCCAGACUCCUACGGGAGGCAGCAGUGAGGAAUAUUGGGCAAUGGGCGAAAGCCUGACCCAGCCACGCCGCGUGAGUGAUGAAGGCCCUCGGGUCGUAAAGCUCUGUGGAGAGGGACGAAAACCCUGGUUUCAAAUAGGCUCCAGGCUUGACGGUACCUCUUUAGCAAGCACCGGCUAACUCUGUG
rnacentral:rRNA from 1 species